AAACAUAGCCAUUAGAUGAUACUAUAUGGUUUUACCUGCCCAAUGUUACGAUGAAUGGCCGCGGUACCCUGACCGUGCUAAGGUAGCGUAAUCAGUUGACCUUUAAAUGAGGUCAGGAAUGAAUGGAAUAACCGGGUUUAGCUGUCUCCAAACCAUUAUAUUGAAUUUACUAUCUAAGUGAAAAAGCUUAGGAUUUAAAAAAGGAGGAGAAGACCCUUAGAAUUUUUUUAAAAAGGAACAUAUUUUCCUUACAGUUUUAUUGGGGCGAUAAAGAAAUAAUUAAAACUUUCUUUUUUAACAAGCCGAUUGUAUUAAGUAAGAAUAAAUUACCUGAGGGAUAACAGCAUAAUUCUAUAACUGAGUUUGUGACCUCGAUGUUGGACUAGGAAACCAGUAGGCUAGCCGUUUACUGUGUUAGGUUCUGUUCGAACUUUUAUUCCU
rnacentral:rRNA from 1 species